rnacentral:rRNA from 1 species
UACGAAGGGGGCUAGCGUUGUUCGGAUUUACUGGGCGUAAAGCGCGUGUAGGCGGGUCGUUAAGUUGGAGGUGAAAUCCCGAGGCUCAACCUCGGAACUGCCUUCAAAACUGGCGACCUGGAGCGUGAUAGAGGCGAGUGGAAUUGCGAGUGUAGAGGUGAAAUUCGUAGAUAUUCGCAGGAACACCAGUGGCGAAGGCGACUCGCUGGAUCAUUGCUGACGCUGAGACGCGAAAGCGUGGGGAGCAAACAGG